rnacentral:rRNA from 1 species
CCUACGGGUGGCAGCAGUGAGGAAUAUUGGUCAAUGGACGCAAGUCUGAACCAGCCAUGUCGCGUGCAGGAUGACGGCCCUAUGAGUUGUAAACUGCUUUUGUACGAGGGUAAACUCCGAUACGUGUACCGGGUUGAAAGUAUCGUAUGAAUAAGGAUCGGCUAACUCCGUGCCAGCAGCCGCGGUAAUACGGAGGAUCCGAGCGUUAUCCGGAUUUAUUGGGUUUAAAGGGUGCGUAGGCGGGUUGAUAAGUUAGAGGUGAAAGGUUGGGGCUCAACCCCGAAACUGCCUCUAAUACUGGUAGACUAGAGAAUAGUUGAGGUAGGCGGAAUGCGUGGUGUAGCGGUGAAAUGCUUAGAGAUC